rnacentral:rRNA from 1 species
AAACCUGAGAAACCCGAAAGUUCGAAUGAGAUGAUUCAGUAUCUUACAUUUGGUCGAACAUUGCAUUUUAUGUGAUAAUUUUUUAAUGGCUUUACGGUCAUUAAUAUUACACUAAUUUGUAAUGAUAAUUUGGCUAUGGAGAUAUGCACUUCUUCUCUAGUAGGACGUUGCAACUCAUUGGAUGUUAAUCUAAGAACCCAAAGGCUAGCCUAUUUUAUAUAUAUUUCGGUAUAUGUGAUUUAGACCUUGGUGCUUCCCGAUUAACUUGUUCGAUGGUAUAUCAUAAUAUUGGGCCGCCUUAUAUGGCAUUCAAACUAUUUUCAAGUGUGUACGGAUCAAAUUUUGGCUAUCAGACCUAGUGCUGUUACUGAAACCGUUAUAUUGUUGGAUUAUAGUAUAUUGAAUAGACCUUUUAUAUUGGUUAGCAACGCUUUAGCUUUGGGUACUUUCAGGAC